UACGUAGGGGGCAAGCGUUGUCCGGAUUUACUGGGCGUAAAGGAUGCGUAGGCGGAUAUUUAAGUGGGAUGUGAAAUACCCGGGCUCAACCUGGGUGCUGCAUUCCAAACUGGAUAUCUGGAGUGCGGGAGAGGAAAGUGGAAUUCCUAGUGUAGCGGUGAAAUGCGUAGAGAUUAGGAAGAACACCAGUGGCGAAGGCGACUUUCUGGACCGUAACUGACGCUGAGGCAUGAAAGCGUGGGGAGCAAACAGG
rnacentral:rRNA from 1 species